UACGUAGGGUGCGAGCGUUAAUCGGAAUUACUGGGCGUAAAGCGUGCGCAGGCGGCUUUGCUAAGACAGAUGUGAAACUCCCCCGGGCUCAACCGUGGGAACUGCAUUUGUGACUGCAAGGCUAGAGUACGGCAGAGGGGGAUGGAAUUCCGCGUGUAGCAGUGAAAUGCGUAGAUAUGCGGAGGAACACCAAUGGCGAAGGCAAUCCCCCU
rnacentral:rRNA from 1 species